UCCGGUUUGUCACCGGCAGUCUGAAGUGAGUCCCCAACUUAAUGCUGGCAACACUUCACGGGGGUUGCGCUCGUUGCGGGACUUAACCCAACAUCUCACGACACGAGCUGACGACAACCAUGCACCACCUGUGUACCGCCCCGAAGGACACCGUAUCUCUACGGCUUUUCGGUACAUGUCAAGCCCAGGUAAGGUUCUUCGCGUUGCCUCGAAUUAAGCCACAUGCUCCGCCGCUUGAGCGGGCCCCCGUCAAUUCCUUUGAGGUUUAGCCUUGCGGCCGUACUCCCCAGGCGGAACACUUAUCGCGUUGGCUUCGGCACGGACAGAUUCGACUCCGCCCACACCUAGUGUUCAUCGUUUACGGCGUGGACUAC
rnacentral:misc_RNA from 1 species